UACGUAGGGGGCUAGCGUUGUCCGGAUUUAUUGGGCGUAAAGAGCGUGUAGGCGGCGGUGCUGGCCCGGCGUGAAAGCCCCCCGGCUCAACCGGGGAGGGUCGUCGGGGACCGCACCGCUUGAGGGCGGUAGGGGCCGGUGGAAUGCCUGGUGUAGUGGUGAAAUGCGUAGAGAUCAGGCAGAACACCUGGGGCGAAGGCGGCCGGCUGGGCCGACCCCUGACGCUGAGGCGCGAAGGCGUGGGGAGCGAACGGG
rnacentral:rRNA from 1 species